rnacentral:rRNA from 1 species
UACGUAGGGGGCUAGCGUUGUCCGGAAUCAUUGGGCGUAAAGCGCGUGUAGGCGGUCCGGUAAGUCCGCUGUGAAAGUCGAGGGCUCAACCCUCGAAUGCCGGUGGAUACUGUCGGGCUUGAGUACGGGAGAGGCGAGUGGAAUUCCUGGUGUAGCGGUGAAAUGCGUAGAGAUCGGGAGGAACACCAGAGGCGAAGGCGGCGACCUGGACAAGUACUGACACUCAACUACGAAAGCGUGGGGAGCAAACAGG